AGCAUGGGAUGAGCUGUGGAUAGCGGAGAAAUUCCAAUCGAACUCGGAGAUAGCUGGUUCUCCUCGAAAUAGCUUUAGGGCUAGCGUCGGAUAUGAGUAAUGGAGGUAGAGCACUGAAUGGGCUAGGGGGCGUAUCGCUUACCGAACCUUAUCAAACUCCGAAUGCCAUAUACUAUGAGUCCGGCAGUCAGACUACGAAUGAUAAGAUCCGUGGUCAAAAGGGAAAAAGCCCAGAUCGUCAGCUAAGGUCCCAAAGUGUAAGUUAAGUGGUAAAGGAUGUGGGAUUUCUAAGACAACUAGGAUGUUGGCUUAGAAGCAGCCACUCAUUUAAAGAGUGCGUAAUAGCUCACUAGUCGAGAGAUCCUGCGCCGAAAAUGUCCGGGGCUCAAACUUACCACCGAAGCUACGGGCUCAAGUUAACUUGAGCGGUAGAGGAGCGUCGUAAUCGGGCUGAAGUCGUACCGUAAGGAGCGGUGGACUGAUUACGAGUGAGAAUGUUGGCAUUAGUAGCGAGAUGUAAGUGAGAAUCUUACAGGCCGAAAAUCUAAGGUUUCCUGGGGAAGGCUCGUCCGCCCAGGGUUAGUCGGGACCUAAGCCGAGGCCGAAAGGCGUAGGUGAUGGACAAUUGGUUGAUAUUCCAAUACCACUAUUAUCGUUAUUAUCGAUGGUGUGACGGAGAAGGAUAGGAUGUGCUAGCGAUUGGAAAUGCUAGUCUAAGCAUUUAGGGAGUUAAAGUAGGCAAAUCCGCUUUAACAAUUCUGAGGUGUGAUGGGGAAGGUCAUUUUGACUGAAGUAUCUGAUUCCAUGCUUCCAAGAAAAGCAUCUAGAGAGAGAAGUAGUGCCCGUACCGCAAACCGACACAGGUAGAUGAGGAGAGAAUCCUAAGGCCAUCGGAAGAAUUGCAGUUAAGGAACUAGGCAAAUUGACCCCGUAAGUUCGCGAGAAGGGGUGCCUGUGAGAGCAGGCCGCAGAGAAUAGGCCCAAGCAACUGUUUAGCAAAAACACAGGUCUCUGCUAAAGCGUAAGCUGAUGUAUAGGGGCUGACGCCUGCCCGGUGCUGG
rnacentral:rRNA from 1 species